AGCGGACAGAUGGGAGCUUGCUCCCUGAUGUUAGCGGCGGACGGGUGAGUAACACGUGGGUAACCUGCCUGUAAGACUGGGAUAACUCCGGGAAACCGGGGCUAAUACCGGAUGGUUGUUUGAACCGCACGGUUCAAACAUAAAAGGUGGCUUCGGCUACCACUUACAGAUGGACCCGCGGCGCAUUAGCUAGUUGGUGAGG
rnacentral:rRNA from 1 species